GAUGAACGCUAGCUACAGGCUUAACACAUGCAAGUCGAGGGGCAACAUUAAAGUUUGCUUGCAAACUUUAGAUGGCGACCGGCGCACGGGUGAGUAACACGUAUCCAACCUGCCGAUAACUCGGGGAUAGCCUUUCGAAAGAAAGAUUAAUACCCGAUGGUAUAUUUUCACCGCAUGGUGAAACUAUUAAAGAAUUUCGGUUAUCGAUGGGGAUGCGUUCCAUUAGGCAGUUGGUGAGGUAACGGCUCACCAAACCUUCGAUGGAUAGGGGUUCUGAGAGGAAGGUCCCCCACAUUGGAACUGAGACACGGUCCAA
rnacentral:rRNA from 1 species